UACCAGCACCCCGAGUGGUCGGGACGAUUAUUGGGCCUAAAGCAUCCGUAGCCGGCCUUACAAGUCCUCCGUUAAAUCCAGCUGCUUAACAGAUGGGCUGCGGAGGAUACUAUAAGACUAGGAGGCAGGAGAGGCAAGCGGUACUCAGUGGGUAGGGGUAAAAUCCGUUGAUCCAUUGAAGACCACCAGUGGCGAAGGCGGCUCACUGGUCCGGUACUGACGCUGAGGUGCGAAAGCGUGGGGAGCAAACAGG
rnacentral:rRNA from 1 species